rnacentral:rRNA from 1 species
GAUGAACGCUGGCGGCGUGCCUAAUACAUGCAAGUCGAGCGAACAGACGAGGAUCUUGCUCCUCAGACGUUAGCGGCGGACGGGUGAGUAACACGUGGAUAACCUCCCUAUAAGACUGGGAUAACUUCUGGAAACCGGAGCGAAUACCGGAUAAUAUAUUGAACCGCAUGGUUCAAUAGUGAAAGACUGGUUUGCUGUCACUGAUAGAUGUAUCCGCGCCGCAUUAGCUAGUUGGUAAGGUAACGGUUUACCAAGGCAACGAUGCGUAGCCGACCUGAGAGGGUGACCGGCGACGCUGGGACUGAGACACGGUCCAGACUCCUACGGGAGGCAGCAGUAGGGAAUCUUCCGCAAUGGGCGAAAGCCUGACGGAGCAACGCCGCGUGAGUGAUGAAGGUCUUCGGAUCGUAAAACUCUGUUAUUAGGGAAGAACAAAUGUGUAAGUAACUAUGCACGUCUUGACGGUACCUAAUCAGAAAGCCACGGCUAACUACGUG